UGUGACUUAAGCACUGCAACACCAAUGGAAAAAGUGUGUGGUCCGCAAGGAGGAUUAUGUUUAAAAAUAAACCCCAUUUGGUCACAUUCCAAAAGAGUAUCUUCGUCAGCCUAUGAAUUUUUCAGAUGGCCCUCAUGUGGUU